AAUAGAUACCCCGGUAGUCCACGCCGUAAACGAUGGAUACUAGCUGUUGGAGGUAUCGACCCCUUCAGUAGCGAAGCUAACGCGUUAAGUAUCCCGCCUGUGGAGUACGAUCGCAAGAUUAAAACAUAAAGGAAUUGACGGGGACCCGCACAAGCGGUGGAGCGUGUUCUUUAAUUCGAUGAUAAACGAAGAACCUUACCAGGGCUUGACAUCCCGAGAAUUACUCCGAAAGGAGUGAGUGCUUUAUUGAACUCGGUGACAGGUGCUGCAUGGCCGUCGUCAGCUCGUGUCGUGAGAUGUUUGGUUAAGUCCAUCAACGAGCGCAACCCUUAUGAAUAGUUGGUAUUUUCUAUUCAGACUGCCCCGGCGAACGGGGAGGAAGGAGGGGAUGAUGUCAGGUCAGUAUUGCCCUUACGCCGUGGCCAGAAACGCGCUACAAUGGCCAGUACAAUGCGCAGCCAACCCGUGAGGGGAGCAAAUCGCAUCAAAGCUGGUCCCAGUUCGGAUAGCAGGCUGAAACUCGCCUGCUUG
rnacentral:rRNA from 1 species